GCUGGGUGUGGUGGCACAUGCCUGUAAUCCCAGUAACUCGGGAGGCUAAGAAAGGAGGAUUGUGGGGGCUGGGGAUGUGGCUCAAGUGGUAGCGUGCUUGCCUGGCAUGCGUGCGGCCCCAGUUCGAUCCUUAGCACCACAUACAAACAAAGAUGUUGUGUCUGCCAAAAACUAAAAAAUAAACAUUAAAAAAUUCUCUCUCUCUCUUUAAAAAAAAAAAAAAAAGAAAAGAUAAGAAAGGAGGAUUGUGAGUUCAAAGCCAACCUCAGCCACUCAGUGAGACCCUGUCGUUA
rnacentral:sRNA from 1 species